rnacentral:rRNA from 1 species
GACGAACGCUGGCGGCGUGCCUAAUACAUGCAAGUAGAACGCUGAAGAGAGGAGCUUACUCUUCUUGGAUGAGUUGCGAACGGGUGAGUAACGCGUAGGUAACCUGCCUUGUAGCGGGGGAUAACUAUUGGAAACGAUAGCUAAUACCGCAUAACAAUGGAUGACACAUGUCAUUUAUUUGAAAGGGGCAAUUGCUCCACUACAAGAUGGACCUGCGUUGUAUUAGCUAGUAGGUGAGGUAAUGGCUCACCUAGGCGACGAUACAUAGCCGACCUGAGAGGGUGAUCGGCCUCACUGGGACUGAGACACGGCCCAGACUCCUACGGGAGGCAGCAGUAGGGAAUCUUCGGCAAUGGGGGCAACCCUGACCGAGCAACGCCGCGUGAGUGAAGAAGGUUUUCGGAUCGUAAAGCUCUGUUGUAAGUCAAGAACGGGUGUGAGAGUGGAAAGUUCACAAUGUGACGGUAGCUUACCAGAAAGGGACGGCUAACUACGUG